rnacentral:rRNA from 1 species
GAUGAACGCUGGCGGCGUGCCUAAUACAUGCAAGUCGAGCGAACAGACGAGGAGCUUGCUCCUCUGACGUUAGCGGCGGACGGGUGAGUAACACGUGGAUAACCUACCUGUAAGACUGGGAUAACUUCGGGAAACCGGAGCUAAUACCGGAUAAUAUAUUGAACCGCAUGGUUCAAUAGUGAAAGACGGUGUUUCUGUCACUUAUAGAUGGAUCCGCGCCGCAUUAGCUAGUUGGUAAGGUAACGGCUUACCAAGGCAACGAGGCGUAGCCGAUUUGAGAGGGUGAUAGGCCACCCUGGAAGUGAGACACCCACCAGACUCCUACGGGAGGAAGCAGUAGGGAAUCUUCCGCAAUGGGCGAAAGCCUGACGGAGCAACGCCGCGUGAGGGAUGAAGGCCUUCGGAUCGUAAAACUCUGUUAUUAGGGAAGAACAAAUGUGUAAGUAAAUAUGCACGUCUUGACGGUACCUAAUCAGAAAGCCACGGCUAACUACGUG